ACACAUGCAAGUCGAGGGGAAACGACAUCGAAAGCUUGCUUUUGAUGGGCGUCGACCGGCGCACGGGUGAGUAACGCGUAUCCAACCUGCCCAUCACUUGGGGAUAACCUUGCGAAAGUAAGACUAAUACCCAAUGACGUCUCUAGAAGACAUCUGAAAGAGAUUAAAGAUUUAUCGGUGAUGGAUGGGGAUGCGUCUGAUUAGCUUGUUGGCGGGGUAACGGCCCACCAAGGCGACGAUCAGUAGGGGUUCUGAGAGGAAGGUCCCCCACAUUGGAACUGAGACACGGUCCAAACUCCUACGGGAGGCAGCAGUGAGGAAUAUUGGUCAAUGGACGAGAGUCUGAACCAGCCAAGUAGCGUGCAGGAUGACGGCCCUAUGGGUUGUAAACUGCUUUUAUAAGGGAAUAAAGUUAGUCUCGUGAGACUUUUUGCAUGUACCUUAUGAAUAAGGACCGGCUAAUUCCGUGCCAGCAGCCGCGGUAAUACGGAAGGUCCGGGCGUUAUCCGGAUUUAUUGGGUUUAAAGGGAGCGUAGGCCGGAGAUUAAGCGUGUUGUGAAAUGUAGACGCUCAACGUCUGCACUGCAGCGCGAACUGGUUUCCUUGAGUACGCACAAAGUGGGCGGAAUUCGUGGUGUAGCGGUGAAAUGCUUAGAUAUCACGAAGAACUCCGAUUGCGAAGGCAGCUCACUGGAGCGCAACUGACGCUGAAGCUCGAAAGUGCGGGUAUCGAACAGG
rnacentral:rRNA from 1 species